AGCUAGGAUGUGUAGUGGUUUGAGCACUGAACUAGGACUCUGGAGAUCAGGGUUCAAUUCCCUGCUCGGCUA